rnacentral:lncRNA from 1 species
UCCAUUUAUGUUCUAUCAUACGGACUUCAUGAUUCUCUUAUAGCUUGUAAAUUCGUGAUUUUGGUUCUCCUUCUCAUUGGUUUGGUGAUAAUCUAAUGGUUUGUAGUCUUUCUUGUGAUGGGUGUAUCUCCGGUCACAUGUCACCUACUCACCUUUUUGAGGUAAACAACUCAUGUGUCUCCGUAAAGCCUCCUAAGAGGUUAGUCCACCUCUUACAGCUUUGGUUUCCUGCAAUUUCUAACAGUAAAGACUUGGAAAAAUAUCAAGAUCGGCGCAACACAUAAUCUGAGUUUAAGUUUUAUUUUUUCUGUAACUUUUUGGUUUAUUUGAUUUUUUUUUAGAGAGAUCGUUGUUCUAAAAAAAACAUUCGCCUAAAAACAGGGGAAACCAAUCGGAUGAUCUCCCGCAACCUAGCAUUUGGAACGAAGGACUAGAGUAGGCAGAUUCCGACGUUGUUUUUGCAGUACUCAAGGUUAUGAACCAGAACGACGAACGAGACACAUGGACAUGGCCGGACACAUCUAUCUAUUACCCCUAUGGAAGGGCGAAGAAUUCUCACCAUUUG